GCCAAAUGAUGCUUAUUUGAUACAGGAACACUUCUGUGAAAGGAUUACUCUUGAUCUGUCACCCAUGACUGAUGGCU